AGCGUAGGUGGCCUAACAUGUCAACUGUGAAAACCCGGAGCUCAACUCCGGACUUGCAGUUGAAACUGGUAGGCUUGAGGACGGUAGAGGAAGACGGAACUGCCAGUGUAGGGGUAAAAUCCUUAGAUAUUGGCAGGAACGCCGGCGACGAAGGUGGUUUUCUGGGCCGGUUCUGACACUGAUGCUCGAAAGCCAGGGGAGCGAACG
rnacentral:rRNA from 1 species